rnacentral:rRNA from 1 species
GAGUUUGAUCGUGGCUCAAAUUGAACGCUGGCGGCACGCUUAACACAUGCAAGUCGGACGGCAGCACGGGUGCUUGCACCUGGUGGCGAGUGGCGGACGGGUGAGUAAUGCUUAGGGAUCUGGCGCGAAGCGGGGGACAACACGGGGAAACUCGUGCUAAUACCGCAUAAGCUCUGAGGAGUAAAGAUGGCCUCUAUUUAUAAGCUAUCGCUUUGCGAUGAACCUAAGUCGGAUUAGCUAGUUGGUGGGUUAAAGGCCUACCAAGGUCGACGAUCCGUAGCUGGUCUGAGAGGACGAUCAGCCACACUGGGACUGAGACACGGCCCAGACUCCUACGGGAGGCAGCAGUGGGGAAUAUUGGACAAUGGGGGCAACCCUGAUCCAGCGAUGCCGCGUGUGUGAAGAA